UUUGCUUUUUUUAAUUAAAUAGCUACAAAAUAUAUAAUUUUGUAUGUAGCGGCCAAAUAUUUGCGUGAAACUUUAGUGGAUUUAGCAGUACUAUUGGCAGCACUGCGUGACCCGCGUGAAUUGGCCGCGCGACUUUCAACUUUUCUCUUCCGCCAUUACGAGAUAAAGUAACUCCAUGUUUCUUGCGUUCUUCUUUUGUCAUAAUGUGAUAAUAUGCAUAUCAAAAGAAUUAUUAAUGUCGGGAGUGCCGUAAUGUGAUGCAACAUGUAUCGGCAGUGUCGUGUAAAGUAUCGUGCGAUCAUCGAUAUGAUAUAUAAAAGAUACGUCACUUAUUUAACAUUAUCGUGCUGCUCAAAAUGUCGUGUCAUUGCUGUGAUGUGUUACAAUACGUGUCGGGAGUGUGCUUAAUGUUUUUAAUCGGGAGUGCCUUGCAAAGUGUUGCGCGAUCGUCUUAUUCCGGUGAUUAAUGUGCGCGCAAUCGUAAUUAUCGCGAAUGCUCUGAGCAAGCAACGCGUUGGCCGCGAAAAAGGAAGGUGUCUCGGUGGAGUUAAAGGAGGAAGGGGUAGAAAGCGUUGGCAGAACAAGCGUUACGCAGGAUUAGUGCUGUGAAAUAUUUCGCUGCUGCUUGUCGUGUGUGGAUAAUCAAGAUUAUCGAACUUGUGUUUUGAUUGCGGCAACGUGAGCGUCCGGCAUCCGACGGCGACUGAGAAAGAUGAGAGACCACACGGAGGAAAGGUAUAU